CUCAAAGGAAUUGACGGGGGCCCGCACAAGCGGUGGAGCAUGUGGUUCAAUUCGACGCAACGCGAAGAACCUUACCUGGGCUCGAACGGUUCACGAACGCUCGUGGAAACACGGGUUUCCCGCAAGGGACGGGAGCCGAGGUGCUGCAUGGCUGUCGUCAGCUCGUGUCGUGAGAUGUUGGGUUAAGUCCCGCAACGAGCGCAACCCUUGUCCUGUGUUGCCACUCCGCAAGGAAGCACUCGCAGGAGACCGCCAGCGAUAAGCUGGAGGAAGGUGGGGAUGACGUCAAGUCCUCAUGGCCUUUAUGUCCAGGGCUACACACGUGCUACAAUGGCCGGUACAAAGCGUCCCCAAGCUGCAAGGCGGAGGCAAUCGCAAAAAACCGGUCUCAGUUCGGAUUGCAGGCUGCAACUCGCCUGCAUGAAGCUGGAAUCGCUAGUAAUGGCGCAUCAGAACGGCGCCGUGAAUACGUUCCCGGGCCUUGUACACACCGCCCGUCACAUCACGAAAGUGGGUUGUACUAGAAGCCCGCAGGCCAACCCGCAAGGGGGGCAGCGGUCCAAGGUAUGGCUCAUGAUUGGGGUGAAGUCGUAACAAGGUAACC
rnacentral:rRNA from 1 species